AUUGAACGCUGGCGGCAUGCUUUACACACGCAAGUCGAACGGUAACUGGCCGCAAGGUGCUGACGAGUGGCGAACGGGUGAGUAAUGCAUCGGAACGUGCCCAGUCGUGGGGGAUAACGCAGCGAAAGCUGCGCUAAUACCGCAUACGAUCUCUGGAUGAAAGCGGGGGACCGAAAGGCCUCGCGCGAUUGGAGCGGCCGAUGUCAGAUUAGGUAGUUGGUGGGGUAAAGGCCCACCAAGCCAACGAUCUGUAGCUGGUCUGAGAGGACGACCAGCCAAACUGGGACUGAGACACGGCCCAGACUCCUACGGGAGGCAGCAGUGGGGAAUUUUGGACAAUGGGCGCAAGCCUGAUCCAGCAAUGCCGCGUGCAGGAAGAAGGCCUUCGGGUUGUAAACUGCUUUUGUACGGAACGAAACGGUCCGGGCUAAUACCCUGGGCUAAUGACGGUACCGUAAGAAUAAGCACCGGCUAACUACGUGCCAGCCGCCGCGGUAAAAC
rnacentral:rRNA from 1 species